rnacentral:rRNA from 1 species
GCUAGAUCGUAACUGACGUUGAGGCUCGAAAGUAUGGGUAGCAAACGGGAUUAGAUACCCCGGUAGUCCAUACCGUAAACGAUGGGUGCUAGUUGUUAAGAGGUUUCCGCCUCCUAGUGACGUAGCAAACGCAUUAAGCACCCCGCCUGAGGAGUACGGCCGCAAGGCUAAAACUUAAAGGAAUUGACGGGGACCCGCACAAGCGGUGGAGCAUGUGGUUUAAUUCGAAGAUACGCGAAAAACCUUACCAGGUCUUGACAUACCAAUGAUCGCUUUUGUAAUGAAAGCUUUUCUUCGGAACAUUGGAUACAGGUGGUGCAUGGUCGUCGUCAGCUCGUGUCGUGAGAUGUUGGGUUAAGUCCCGCAACGAGCGCAACCCUUGUUAUUAGUUGCCAGCAUUUAGUUGGGCACUCUAAUGAGACUGCCGGUGAUAAACCGGAGGAAGGUGGGGACGACGUCAGAUCAUCAUGCCCCUUAUGACCUGGGCAACACACGUGCUACAAUGGGAAGUACAACGAGUCGCAAACCGGCGACGGUAAGCUAAUCUCUUAAAACUUCUCUCAGUUCGGACUGGAGUCUGCAACUCGACUCCACGAAGGCGGAAUCGCUAGUAAUCGCGAAUCAGCAUGUCGCGGUGAAUACGUUCCCGGGUCUUGUACACACCGCCCGUCAAAUCAUGGGAGUCGGAAGUACCCAAAGUCGCUUGGCUAACUUUUAGAGGCCGGUGCCUAAGGUAAAAUCGAUGACUGGGAUUAAGUCGUAACAAGGUAGCCGUAGGAGAACCUGCGGCUGGAUCACCUCCUUUCUAAGGA